rnacentral:rRNA from 1 species
GAUGAACGCUAGCGAUAGGCCUAACACAUGCAAGUCGAGGGGCAGCAUAGGGUAGCAAUACUUUGAUGGCGACCGGCGCACGGGUGAGUAACGCGUAUGCAACCUACCUAUAACAGGGGGAUAACCCGGAGAAAUUCGGACUAAUACCGCAUAAAACAGGGGCUCCGCAUGGAGAUAUUUGUUAAAGAUUUAUCGGUUAUAGAUGGGCAUGCGUUCCAUUAGCCAGUUGGUGAGGUAACGGCUCACCAAAGCAACGAUGGAUAGGGGAACUGAGAGGUUUGUCCCCCACACUGGAAAUGAGACACGGACCAGACUCCUACGGGAGGCAGCAGUGAGGAAUAUUGGUCAAUGGGCGCGAGCCUGAACCAGCCAAAUCGCGUGAAGGAAGACUGCCUUAUGGGUUGUAAACUUCUUUUAUACAGGAAUAAAAAGAGUUACGUGUAACUUAUUGCAUGUACUGUAUGAAUAAGCAUCGGCUAACUCCGUGCCAGCAGCCGCGGUAAGAC